rnacentral:misc_RNA from 1 species
AAGUCGUAACAAGGUUUCCGUAGGUGAACCUGCAGAAGGAUCAUUACACGUAUCCAACGUUAAACCCCCCUGUGAACUUUUAUACUUGCUCUCCUAGCCCGCCGGAAUUGUAAUCACUGGUAAAUCAUUGUUGAACAGAUUUUGAUUCAGACCUCAGUUUGGUCGGCGAAGAUCGAGCGAUCGUUGCAAGUGGUCUGGUUUCCCCAAACAGUCAGUCAUUGAUUGUGUAAGGAUAACGCUUUUCGAUCACUAGAGGCCGAACACCGGUCGGUGACCAGGUCGCCGUGGCUUCGGCCCCCGAUCUACCUGAACCUCCUAGGAAACUGCUGGGCAACAACUGUUAACAAUGGAUAUCUUGGUUCUC